rnacentral:rRNA from 1 species
GAGAUCGGGAUAACACCUGGAAACAGAUGCUAAUACCGGAUAACAACAGAUGAUGCCUAUCAACUGUUUAAAAGAUGGUUCUGCUAUCACUCUUGGAUGGACCUGCGGUGCAUUAGCUAGUUGGUAGGGUAACGGCCUACCAAGGCGAUGAUGCAUAGCCGAGUUGAGAGACNGAUCGGCCACAUUGGGACUGAGACACGGCCCAAACUCCUACGGGAGGCAGCAGAC